UACGUAGGGGGCAAGCGUUGUCCGGAUUUAUUGGGCGUAAAGGGUGCGUAGGUGGCCGGGUAAGUCUGGUGUGAAAUCUCCGAGCUCAACUCGGAAACUGCAUUGGAUACUAUCCGGCUAGAGGAUCGGAGGGGAGACUGGAAUACUUGGUGUAGCAGUGAAAUGCGUAGAUAUCAAGUGGAACACCAGUGGCGAAGGCGAGUCUCUGGACGAUUCCUGACGCUGAGGCACGAAAGCUAGGGGAGCAAACAGG
rnacentral:rRNA from 1 species